AGCCGGCUGCCUUCCUCAGCAGCGCUGCUUCUCAAACGCGUGCGGAUCCGGCAGCGCGGAGGAAUGUAAAGCGCGAAUUAAAGAAAAGCUGGUAACCAGCAGAGAAGAUACAAAAGCUAAAAUCACUAUGUGGAGCUGUGAAACCUUAAACAACAGUACCGAGAACAGUGAGGACCAGCAUCUCUGCUAUGACUUCCACCUUGUGCUUUCCAUCUUUUCCCUACUCUACCUCAUUAUAUGUUUCCCAAUUGGCCUUUGUUACAAUGGCUUGCUGGUCCUAGUUAAUCUCUAUAACAAAGCUACUAUGACUAUGCCAGAUGUUUACUUUGUCAACAUUGCCAUUGCCGGUCUCAUCAUCAACGCUCUGGCACCAAUGUACCUUCUAGGUCUUGCCAAUACAAAAUGGGCCAUCUGGAAUUCUAACAAUGAAGUUUAUAUUACCUUACUUAUUUUAUUCAACGUCUCAUCUUUAGUUACCAUGUACUCUACUACAUUACUCAGUCUGGACUACUACAUUGAACGUGCUCUACCUAGAACUUACAUGUCAAGUGUGUACAACACCAAACAUGUUUGUGGAUUCAUAUGGGGUGGUGCCAUGCUUACAAGUUUUUCAUCUCUCCUGUUCUACGUCUGCAAUCACGUAUCCACUAAAAUAAUUGAAUGUUCCAAGAUGCAGAACAAAGAAGCAGCAGAUGCCAUUAUGGUCUUUAUCGGGUAUGUUGUACCAGCUAUCGCUGUACUGUAUGCACUUAUAUUAAUCUUGCGAAUACGCAAAGAGGCUACACCACUGGAUCAAGACACUGGACGAUUAGAUCCAUCGGUGCACAGGCUUUUGAUUGCCACAGUCUGUACACAGUUCACGUUAUGGACACCCUAUUAUGUUAUUCUCUUGGUAAGCACAUUUACUAAUGCACAAGGAAGAAUUUCAGAUGACAGUUACAGUCGAAUAUUACAUUUUACCAAGAUUUUAUCAAAAUUCUUGGCUUUCUCAAGCAGCUUUGUAAUGCCUCUGCUCUACAGAUACAUUAACAAAAACUUUCCCAACAAAUUACGACGUUUGCUUAAAAAGAUACACUGUGGGAAUCAAGGGUGUUCUCAUGAACGCACAGUAGUGCAGCAAGUUAUGACGUAGGUAUGAAAAAACACUCUGGUGCUCUGUUACUGCAGUACUUAACAUACCAGUACUGGGACUGUGAUAUUGCUGUGUUGGCACUCAGAGUCAUUAAUGUGAGAGUCCCAACCAAGAGGCUGGAAGGAGCUUUCCAUUACAGUUAAAUGAAACAGUCUUAAUUUUCAAAUAGUUAAUUGUUUGCCGAAAUCUUGUGAGACUGGCCUAUGUGCUGUAAUACCUGUGACAUCUAAUACUUUCAGUGCACUGAAUUGGUUACAGAGCAGACACUCGUGUCUUCAUCUUUAUUGAAGUCUUGACUGAAGACACAGCACCUUGUAUUUUGUAUAGAAAAAGGUAUUGCCUUAUUUUCUGUACAAAGAAGUAACAGUGCUAUCCUUGAUGAAGUAAAUAGCAUUUUUCAAUGAAGAUGAUAUAGAUGAUCUCUACUAAAGGUCAUAUUAUCCAAUUAUACAUGUCCAAGUAGUAAAUGUUAAUUAUAAAUUAAAUUAUUUAAUUUCUUUCUCCAUCAAUGAUUCCCCUCUAAAAGAAGCCUAAUUUACCAUUUUCAGAAAUUAUUUUCUCGCACGAACUAACCUAAGUUUUAACGUCUAUGGUAAAUUCCUUUUUUUCUAGAUAUAACAAUUAACAAAAAUGUGUUUUAUUUUUCCAGUGCUUUGUUUGCAUCCUAAAACAUUUCAAGAAUUCAGAAAUAUUUAUUAACUAAUUCUAAGGGAACUGAGAAAUGUUUGUUCCACAUAUUAAAAUGAAGGACACAGUGGUUUACAAAGCUAAAUCAAAAUUUAACUAGUAAAGAAUGUCUGGCUAAGUGUUAUGGUCCACAUAUGUUCAUGUAACAAGAGUAAUUAUCUUAAAAAUAAAUAUGUUUAUGAAAAACAUUUUGUAUUUUCAAGGGAUAUGUUUGCAACGAAUAAAUUAAAGUCUCUUUAAUCUAGGGCAUCACUGGAGGUUUGGAAACCAUAUAAAAUCCCUCAAUACAUAGAAGAUUUUAAAAUGGGAGUAAUAUAUAGGAAUCACAGUCAGCAUCAGUUCUUUGCUGACCGCUCAGAAAUGGAGUGCCUCCCAGUGUCAUUCUUGAAUACACAAUAAAAGUAUAGUUUCUGUAUUUCACAGUGGGGAUGAAGAAAUCCAAUCCAGAUUGCCAAAUUUUACUGAGCAUAUGAAAUACAUAAGAAACACAAACAUGCUGCAGGAAGCAAAUUAACAGUUACCCACAACAGCAAACUACGAAACGUUGACCCAGGAACUACCUGUUCCUAUGCUGUUGUUGCAUUAUUAAUGACAGAGGAGACGCAGAAGUUAAACUGAUAUUCUCCCACUGAUUUUGGGGUAGCAAGGCAUCUUUGUCACUCACCCUGCAACACAGCAGAAUUAUUUUGUUGCUUAAUCUGUCACAACACAACUCAAAUUCCGUAUGACUAUUAAGUGGCUUUUCAAGCCUCUGGUAUAGAAAAAACCAUGGAGCAAAACCAGAAUUGAACCUUUUCCAUUGCUUAUAGCACAAUCUCAUCUGAUAAUUGGUCCUAAUUUGUCAGCAUAGAGACAUGCUUAAGUUCUAAGUGGGAAGCAGGUGAGGAACAGCCUUUUCAGAUCUUUUCCCUUCUCUUCAACAUUAUUCAAGUAAUUUUGUCUCACAGCCAUCUUUGCUUAUCUUCUUCAUAUACAAGCAUCUCUAAGUUAUCAACAUCCAGGUGGAAGACUCUCCAUUAAUCUUUACUUUUUUAAUAGCUUUUCACAUUUUACUGAUUUUUUUUUUUAACCCUUAAACUCUAUAUGGUAAAUCAUCUAUUUCUAUGGCUUUUUCUCCACCCAAAAACUAUCCAGUGCAACUACAUUAAUUUACUUCAUAGUUUCAGCCUGUUGAUGAAACCCAUGUAAAGCCUUUCUUUAUCAUUGUGUCUGAUUCACACACUAAUCUAUAGUGCCUCUAUGCUGACAUGAUACUGGCUGCUUUGGUAAACCACUGGGUUGGUUGGUUGGGUUUUUUCCCCCCCCGCUUAAUUUGAGAGGUUUUCUAUGAAUUUCUACACAUCUUGAGCAUUCAAGCUCACUUCCACACAGAAGUGCUUAAGAAAGAAAACCUUCCUUAUAACUGUCAAGCAAAGAGGCUCCUCUUCAUCCCAUCUGAGGGAAAUCAGGUUUCCUAAUGCACCACAUUAAAUCUCUCAUGUAAAAUCUGUCAAAGAAAUUCCAUCCCAUUAUGCAGGAAAAAUUCCAUCGAGGAGGAACUGGCUUAUCUGGUGUGAAUAAAGGCUUCCAGAACUGGGACACUGCCAGGACGGUGUGGCUGAACAGGCGGCAUUAACUGCAAUUUCAGCUUCCAUGUUGCUUCCUUACUUCUGUUUCCCCCGUCUCCUAACACAUCUUAUUUUCUGUCUCUAACAGGACUGUCGCAUUUAUUUCUGUUCCUUUCUCUCCAUGUUAAAUUCCCAGUUUCAGAUCAUGGCUCUUUUAUCAUCUCUCUUUAGCUUCUUCUCCCAUCUUUUCCACUUUUCUAUCCAAACGUGCUAUUCUAUUUAAUUUUCAUUUUGCUCCUCUGUUUCCGUCCAUACUUGGUCUUGUACACUUGGCACCAUUCACCACUCACAUUUACUUCACUAGACUGACUCCUUUACGAUGACCCAAAUCUCAUUCAAUGAUUUGACAUUACAAAUGGAUUUAUGUAGUAAAAUGGAAGCUGCUAUUUAAGAGAUGGAGAAAGAACAAGUUUUUAUAUGAUUUACCCUUGAAAUCUCAUUUUUUUUUUCUAAUCUUUUUUAUUGCAGCAGAGUUAAGUACGUUUGCGUGUAUCCUUGAUAAUAUACUAAAUGUGAUGGCAAUCGUAUAGACAAACAACUUCCAUAAUUUAAUGAACAAGACUGAUAUCCACUCAACUUUUUUUUUAAGAGUUAAUUUGAUGUAUUAGUUGCCUCAAAGAAACUGUACCAUGGAGCUGCCUGACUGCUAUUCUCUUAAGGAAAUUCUGAACUUAAUUGCAGCACCCUCACAUGGUAUCUCUUAAAAAGCAGUAUCCCAAAAAGUGAGAACUUAUAUAAAAAACAGUAGAUGAGCAAGUACAGUAAAAUACUUCAGGAAAUACAUGGUAUCAUAAAUAUGGAAGAACUUUUAUAGACAAAUCUUUAAUAUACAAAGUUCUCAAGAAUGGGGCCUUUCCAUUUCAUAUACCUGAAGGUUUCUGAUGACUGUAAAUAGGGGCUUAUCUAUUUCACAUUUAAAUAAAUAUGAGUAAAAUACUGUAUAUAUGCAAGAUAAAAAAAAAAAAUCAGCCUACUGAUGUAAAAAGACUUUGCAAAGAAUUUAUUAAAUUAUUUCUUAAAGUGUAUCAUUUAAAUGUAAAGCUCUGAACAGUAAGGUGUACUGUAUGUUUCUGUGUAUAUAUAUACUGUAUAUUAGAAAGUAAGCACUAGUUAAGUGCCAUUAACAACAGUGUUAUUUUCUCACAGAAUUAAAUUUAAUAUUUUAGUUGAUCUAUGGCUUAUACCCUCUUGCUGAACCGCCAAUUAAGUCAAAUCAAUUAACUAACAAAAAUGUUGCUCUCUGCUUCUGCUUAAAUUAUUAACACAGCUAGCUCAAGACAGGUCCUUGUUGACUAACCUAGUAGAGGUCCUAGUUUCCAAAGUUUUCAUUUGAGAAUCAAAUUGAGUUGGUCUCUGAAGACAUAAUUUCAGUUAAUGAAAGAAAGUGAUCAACCCCUAGAAAAUUUCUGGUUGUAUGAAAAUGAAGCGAUGUGGCCUUUGAUAUUAUGUCAAAAUACUACAGAAAUGGACUUUCUGCAAAGCCUCACAAAGGAACUAUUGACUUAUAAUAAAUUCCCAAUAAAAAGUGUUAAAAUGUAUCUGGUCAGUAAGAUGUGUCUUUUUUUUUUGGCCGCCUUGAUAAAAAAAAAACUAUUGUAGACAAGGUUAAAUCCGUAUUGCUUCGCUGAAUCAAAACAUAACAAAUUGUGUGACUUGGAUGUCAAAUCAGACAUGUUAAGUUAUCAGAUUUUCCAGGCCAUAAUUUUGACAUCAUUAAAAUCUCAUUAUUCAUCAGCAUGAAGUUAGCUGGGAAUGAAAGCAAAGAGACACACACCCCCAACUCUUUUCAGCAUAAAGAAUCCUGCAACUAAUAGGAUGGAGUAACACUGCACCACAGAAAUACAAGGCUGGUGAUUAAUGCAU